GGGGUUGUGGCUCAGUGGUAGAGUGCUUGCCUGGCAUGCAUGAAGCCCUGGGUUCCAUUCCCACCACCACA
rnacentral:tRNA from 1 species